rnacentral:rRNA from 1 species
CCUACGGGGUGCAGCAGUGAGGAAUAUUGGUCAAUGGGCGCGAGCCUGAAGCAGCCAAGUAGCGUGAAGGAUGACUGCCCUACGGGUUGUAAACUUCUUUUAUAAAGGAAUAAUGUGAGGCAUGUGUGCCUUUUUGUAUGUAUUUUAUGAAUAAGCCUCGGCUAACUCCGUGCCAGCAGCCGCUGUAAUACGGAGGACCCGAGCGUUCUCCGGAUUUAUUGGGUUUAAAGGGAGCGUAGAUGGGUUGUUAAGUCAGUUGUGAAAGGUUGCGGCUCAACCGUAAAAUUGCAAUUGAUACUGGCAGCCUUGAGUACAGUUGAGGUAGGCGGAAUUCGUGGUGUAGCGGUGAAAUGCUUAGAUAUCACGAAGAACUCCGAUGGCGAAGGCAGCUUACUAAACUGCCACUGACAUUGAUGCUCGAAAGUGUGGGUAUCAAACAGGAUUAGAUACCCCGGUAGUC